rnacentral:rRNA from 1 species
AUUGAACGCUGGCGGCAGGCCUAACACAUGCAAGUCGAGCGAGCGGCGGACGGGGGAGUAAUGUCUGGGAAACUGCCCGAUGGAGGGGGAUAACUACUGGACACGGUAGCUAAUACCGCAUACCAUCUGAUUUGCCCAUAUGCGAUUAGCUAGUAGGUGGGGUAACGGCUCACAUAGGCGACGAUCCCUAGCUGGUCUGAGAGGAUGACCAGCCACACUGGAACUGAGACACGGUCCAGACUCCUACGGGAGGCAGCAGUGGGGAAUAGUGCACAAUGGGCGCAAGCCUGAUGCAGCCAUGCCGCGUGUAUGAAGAAGGCGUUCGGGUUGUAAAGUACUUUCAGCGGGGAGGCGUUACCCGCAGAGGAAGCACCGGCUAACUCCGUGCCAGCAGCCGCGGUAAUUC